rnacentral:tRNA from 1 species
GCAAUAGUGGUUCAGAGGUAGAAUUCUCACCUUGCAUGCGGGAGACCUGGGUUUGAUUCCUGGCCAAUACA